AUAUACGUCUGCCAUUUUCCCAAAAGCUGUUGCGAGAUGGUUGCUCCAAAUUCUAACCCUUUCCUUGAGGACUUUCUUACAUGUUGGUCAAGGCCAUUUUCCCAUUUUCUCUAUCCCCACACAUGGCAGACAUGCACCAAAUCCCCUGCGGUAUUGAGACACGCACACCCCCUCCCCUCUCUUCUCUUUUCCUCUUUAAACACACGAUCCCUUCUUUCUCUUCCUUCCCUUCUUAUUUCCUCCUUUCUUCUUCCAGACUUUUCCUCUCUACCUCUUAACCGAACAAAACCAAGAAAGGGCGAGGGAGAGACACAGAAAGACCGAGUUUGAGAGAGAGAUUCACGGAAUCACGGAGUGAGAGAUCGAAAGGUCAGAUUUUUGGAGUGGGUUGAAGCGGACGACGCCGGUGGAGCCAAGGAGCGUUUUCCGGUGUUUUUCUCGGUACCCAAACAAGAAGGAACUCGUUUUUGGAUGACACAGCAAGACGAAGUCAUUUUGUUGUAAUGUCGUAGUUCUCGCUAAUCGUUGUGGAUCGACCUAACCUUUAUAUUGUAUAGUAUGUCUCUUUUUCAGAAUUCAUGGCAUUGUAAAAAAUUAUUAAUAGGCAUAAAUAAUAAAAUAGGAAGUUACAAUCUAUAUGUUGUAAAUGUACGCUUUCAUUUAAAUAUUUUUAACACUCAAGUUCACGUUU